UGAUCUCGAACUUCUUGGCUCAAGUGAUCUGCCUGCCUUCCAAAGUGCUGGGAUUACAGGCAUGAGCCACCAAGCGCAGCCAUGAUUUAUUAGAUCACUUCUAAAAGCCCUCUCUCCAUCUCCAAGCCAGCAAGUGCUUCUUUGCACCCCAGCUCUAAAACAAAGCCCUUGGGGACACAAUCAAAGACAGUAGUUGCCAAGAGGAAUAGGGAGCAUGGAAAGAAGAAAUCAACUCUAAGGAAAGAAGUAGGCAGGAAACCUGUUGAAAGAAAAUGAAAGCAUUAUAUUUCAGCAAUUACUUAAAUCCUGCAAGAAGAUCAUGUUUGAUGGACACUGAAACUGGACAUUGUAGAAGAUGAAUUAUGAGAGUGAUUUAUGAAAGAAAGACAGUGGAGAAUUGCAAUCGAUGGAGACAUUCAAAGAAAAGACUUUGGCACUACAUCAAAAGAGAGUAGAAUAAAUGACGAAACUAAAGCACAAAGAGAUUAAAGAACUUAUCCAAGGUCAUGCAGCUGGAAAGAAGUGGAUUUGGGAUUGUGAACAUCACAAUUUCACAAACUACAUUUCAUGAUGGGUAGAGCUAGUCAAACGUCUGAAAAUAAAGUUUGGUUUAAAGAUGACCAUCGUCUUGUUAAGAAAUUAUAUAAAUGAGUAUCACUAAAAAGUCUCUCUUUAAACUCACCAAGCACUCUUCACUAUGGACAAGAAAGUGUGAAUAUGGUUAUUUUUUAUUUAAUAUUUUCAUGAUGAUUAACUGAAGGAUCUGACAGUAAAUAGUCUUUGGGUCUUUUUAAACUAAAACUCCUGUUGUUGUUGAUAGCAAUUGAUGCAAUUGAUAGUAAUGUGCUGUAUCCCUCAGAUGUAUUCCAGCUGAAGAAGGUGGAGAGCCACUAAAAUUUAUUGUUCUAUGUCAUUUUUCCAAAUCAUCUUUUGAUGACUGUCCAUCUACAUAUUGCUCAGUGGCUUUAUAUUUAGAACAUUAUUUGGGAAAUUGUAAUUUCAAAUAUUUUAACCUAUAAAUAUUCAAUGAAGCCUUGGCAAUGAAGAGUAAGACUUUAUAAAACCUUGAAUAUAUGAAUAGCACAGUUCUGGUUAUCUAUGUAACAACAUCCCCCAUAGUAACCUAAAACAAUGACAUUACUAUAUCCCAUGAUUCUGUGGAUUGCCUGGGCUUAGGUGGUAAGUUCUCAGGGUGUUGCUCAUUGUCACACCCAGAUAGCAGCUAGAACUAGAGUCAUCUGCAAACUCCUUUUUCUUGUGUGGACCAUCCAAGGUAGGUUUCUCAUGCACAUAUCUAGUGCUUUGGUGCUUCUUGGCCUCUCUCUUUCCACAUUGUAUCUCAUCUUCCUGGCCUCUCCACAUGGCUUGGGCUUCUUGUUGCAUGGUGUUACGAGGUACUCACACUGCUAACACAGUAGCUGACUUUCAAGAUACACAAAUUGGACCCUUUUAGACCAAUUAAGGGCUAUGGUGAAACUGGAGCAGUAUCACUCUCAUUGUAUUCUAUUGGCCAAAGUAGCAGAGGGCCUGAUCAGACCCAAAGAGGUAGAGAAAUAGAUUCUACUUCUCAAUGGGGGAGUACCAAGUUCAUAUUGCACAAGGGGAUGUAGAAUGGGAACUAUUGUUGUUAUCAUUAGGUAAUACAGUCUGCCUAAAGUACUAUAUCACCUAAUUAGACUUGCUUUGCACAUGAUGACCAGGAGGAAACAAGAUACUGUUUUGGAAUGUACUCACUAAGCAGCUGCCUAGAUGCUGCUUACCUAACAAGUGCCUUGUUUCCACUCAAGGUCAUGGAUCUUUGGGAGUCUAAUAAGAGUGAUGAAAAAUUAUUCAUAGGUCUCCUUCCUUUACUAUACAAUCCUCGCUGCUAAGAGAAAGAUGGGCAAAGGACCUGGGAUGGAUAUCUUUGUGAAUCUAUCAAUAAUGGAUAAAAUAUCUCAUUUGUCUGCUUUCCUUAUUAUCUAAUUCUUCCCUCUUAGAGGAGUCUGAGCAAAGGAGCCUAGACUGGGUGUAUGGUGGAGAGUCAGUAACUAGGAGUAGAAUCUAAAUCAAAUCAAUAGUGUCCUAGUUAACCAAAUCAAAGAGUAAAUGUACAGAAACACAGGAAACCAUGCAGGGUAAUCAAGACUAAAAUUCUGGGUUAUAAGGAACAGCCUAAAACAAUUCUGAGUUGCAAAAUAAAUGGCACCAAUAAUCUUAUACUAAAUUUCAGAAUGUUAGGAUAGGCCUUAUUCUGCUUAAGAUCAGAAUUGGUUCAAGAUACUGGGUUGGAGUUGAACUAGAAGGUUGUAGGUUGGUAGCCCCAGCUAGAAGGAGAGGCCUAGGAGGAUGCCAAGGAGUAAUUGGUAAGUUGCAAAUGUUGAGUUCCUACCAUGGACUUCUGCAGCAAUUGGUGACUGAUUUGUUAGAUGUUGCAGAGAGACUCAAAACAACUAUCAAUCAUCCUGUUAAUUAAAAAUAUUCAUUGGAUUU
rnacentral:lncRNA from 1 species